CUUUGCAAGUUCCAAAAAUGGCUCAAAUAUGAUGGUUUAACAUACUAAAUUGCAUAUAGGUCAUUCUAACUUCAUAUCAAUGGUUCUAACAGCUUUAAUACAUCAAGUUGGACUUGUUUAAACUUCCAAAUAUCACAAAAUCACAGCAGAACGAAAAUUGACCUGUAAUGACUCAAUUAGGUACUUUUUACUACAUUUUUUAAGGUUUUAAGUAGUGUCAUUUUGAGUUUUAGGAAAUUUUUUGCUUAUGACCACUUUCCUACCAUCAUUUCACUACUUUAGACUUGUUAGGAUGUUAACAUUACUUAAAAUUACUCUACUUUUGGUGAAUUGGCAAUUUGUCACCUUUUAAGUGAACUUUUUAGGUUGAAACUACUCAAACUUUGAGUUUUAGGUACUUGUUUGCUUUUGAGUAGUUUCCUAUCUUCACUUGACUAAUUUAGACUUAUUAGGAUAUUAACAUUAGUUAAAAUUAGUCUACUUUAGGUGAAUUGCAAAUUUCUCACCUUUUUAGUAGACUUUUUUAGGUUCUAACUACCCAAAAUUUCAGUUUUAGGUACUUGUUUGCUUUUGAGUAGUUUCCUAGUGUCAUUUCAUUACUUUAGACUUGUUAGAAUAUUAACAUUAGUUAUUCUUAGUCUACUUUAGGUGAAUUCCUAAUUUCUCACCUUUUUAGUACACUUUUUUAGGUUUUAAGUACCCAAAUUUU
rnacentral:sRNA from 1 species